CAAUGGAAUUCCUCGCGCGUGGUUCGACGCGCGCUCUCGUCAGAUGGUUUAUUCACUGUUGAAUUGUCGGGAUUUAAGUUACCGAUCAUAUGGCACUGCAAAUCAGCUGAUGGGAUGGAUUUUAUUAAACAAGGUCAUCACAGUGCAUUAUGGUACUGCCUUCUCCACAAGGACACAUGUGAUGCUGCCUCAGAAGUUGGCCAGAACAAGGUAUCUUAAAAGGAUGAGGGUGUGAUGGUGGACAAUGAGACGAAAGAAAGAAAGAGGUAGACACAGAAAUAUAAUAAUGAAUUUUUCAGUCUUUCGACAAUUUUGCAUAGGUUUAUGCUGUCAGAGAAGUCAAGAUAUUUACUACACUUGACCAUUUCUCUGUUCCAGGUAUCAACGGACAUUAGCAAAGAAAACUUUGCGCAAGAUCGUUUCAAGAGGCUUCAAACUUCAACCCUUGCUCUUUCGGUGACGAUGUCAAUACCAUGACGAUACAGUCACAUCUUUGGUGGCGUUUGGACGUUUUUAGUUUCCUGUAAGAGUUUGAUGUUUAGGUGUGUGUUUAUAUGUGAUUCUUCUGCCUGGUUUGGCCUGCCGCUGCCUGAAGCAGUGUGUGGGAGGGGGAUGAGAGACGACUCGAGAUCUGCCUCGGGCACUAUUUAGUGCAGACUGAAUGGAUGAGUAGACUUCGCCGAACUGAAGCUAACACAGACACACACACACACACACACACACUACUUCACAUGCAUAUUUGUAUGUGCAAAUUAUAAAAUGACUUUCAGGGUGGUCAACAUUUUUAAGGGAACUUCUACAGGUAAUUUUCGAAGAGCAAUCUGUUGUAGUUUGUUUCACGCAACCCAAAUUGUGAUUUGAGGACAUUAGCACAGUUAGCCACAGGUCAGCUGUCUUAAAGGUGAAGAGUUACAUUUUUAUAUAAGAAAACAUGGUCCCACUUUAUACUAGGUGUCUUUAACUACUAUGUACUAACAUUAUAAUAUAUACAAUACAAUGUACUUAUUGUGUAACUACACGUUGUUCUGCAAAAUACUCACAAGGUUCACAUUUGCUGCUAAUGAGGUUGAGGUACGGGCAGGGUUAGGUUUAGGGGUUAGGCUAAGGCUUAGGGGUUAGGGUAAGGUUUGGGUUAGGGGUAAGGUUACCAGUGUAACUACAGAUGUAAUUAAAUGCAUGUACUUUAAAUGUAAGUAAUACAUUUACUAACUUUUGUAAUGCUAUUUAUUUUAAAACAACUGUUUUCUACCACCCCUGGAGUUCGCUAGUUCACUAGUUCGAAUCCCAGGGCGUGCUGAGUGACUCCAGCCAGGUCUCGAAAGCAACCAAAUUGGCCCGGUUGCUAGGGAGGGUAGAGUCACAUGGGGUAACCUCCUCGUGGUCGCUAUAAUGUGGUUUGUUCUCGGUGGGGCGCAUGGUGAAUUGAGCGUGGUUGCUGCGGUGGAUGGCGUGAAGCCUCCAUAUGCGCUAUGUCUCCGUGGCAACGCGCUCAACAAGCCACGUGAUAAGAUGCGUGGGUUGACUGUCUCAGACGCGGAGGCAACUGGGAUUCGUCCUCCGCCACCCGGACUGAGGCGAAUCACUAUGUCACCACGAGGACUUAGAGCGCAUUGGGAAUUGGGCAUUCCAAA